AUGGGGGCAACCCUGAUGCAGCGACGCCGCGUGAGCGAUGAAGCCCUUCGGGGCGUAAAGCUCUUUCGACCGGAACGAUAAUGACGGUACCGGGAGAAGAAGCUGCGGCUAACUGCGUGCCAGCAGCCGCGGUAAUACGUAGGCAGCAAGCGUUGUUCGGAGUUACUGGGCGUAAAGAGUGCGUAGGCGGUUUUCUAAGUUCGGUGUGAAAUCUCCCGGCUUAACUGGGAGGGUGCGCCGAAGACUGGGAAGCGGGAGUGUGGUAAAGGCAGGCGGAAUUCCUGGUGUAGCGGUGAAAUGCGUAGAUAUCAGGAGGAACACCGGCGGUGUAGACGGCUUGCUAGACCAUAACUGACGCGGAGGCACGAAAGCGUGGGUAGCAAACA
rnacentral:rRNA from 1 species